rnacentral:rRNA from 1 species
UACGUAGGUGACCAGCGUUGUCCGGAUUUACUGGGCGUAAAGAGCGCGCAGGCGGUCGUUCAAGUCGAGUGUGAAAGCCCCCGGCUCAACUGGGGAGGGUCACUCGAUACUGAUCGACUUGAAGGCAGGAGAGGGAAGCGGAAUUCCCGGUGUAGUGGUGAAAUUCGUAGAUAUCAGGAGGAACACCAAUGGCGAAGGCAGCUCGCUGGGACGGUACUGACGCUGAGGUGCGAAAGCGUGGGGAGCAAACAGG